rnacentral:rRNA from 1 species
CAUUACACAAAUAUGAAGGCGGGCUGGAACCUCUCGGGGUUACAGCCUUGCUGAAUUAUUCACCCUUGUCUUUUGCGUACUUCUUGUUUCCUUGGUGGGUUCGCCCACCACUAGGACAAACAUAAACCUUUUGUAAUUGCAAUCAGCGUCAGUAACAAAUUAAUAAUUACAACUUUCAACAACGGAUCUCUUGGUUCUGGCAUCGAUGAAGAACGCAGCGAAAUGCGAUAAGUAGUGUGAAUUGCAGAAUUCAGUGAAUCAUCGAAUCUUUGAACGCACAUUGCGCCCUUUGGUAUUCCAAAGGGCAUGCCUGUUCGAGCGUCAUUUGUACCCUCAAGCUUUGCUUGGUGUUGGGCGUCUUGUCUCUAGCUUUGCUGGAGACUCGCCUUAAAGUAAUUGGCAGCCGGCCUACUGGUUUCGGAGCGCAGCACAAGUCGCACUCUCUAUCAGCAAAGGUCUAGCAUCCAUUAAGCCUUUUUUUCAACUUUUGACCUCGGAUCAGGUAGGGAUACCCGCUGAACUUAAGCAUAUCAAUAAGCGGAGGAAAAGAAACCAACAGGGAUUGCCCUAGUAACGGCGAGUGAAGCGGCAACAGCUCAAUUUGAAAUCUGGCUCUUUUAGAGUCCGAGUUGUAAUUUGCAGAGGGCGCUUUGGCUUUGGCAGCGGUCCAAGUUCCUUGGAACAGGACGUCACAGAGGGUGAGAAUCCCGUACGUGGUCGCUGGCUAUUGCCGUGUA